GUUCCAAGUGACUUUGUUCGUCCCUGAAUAUGUGAACAAAUACGGAGUUGUAGGGACACCGCAAUAUGUUUGGGAUCAAGAGGAGGUGUUGGCCGGAAGGAUAAUAAACAAACGUGCGGCUUCUGCAAUGCUGUUUUGCAAUGAUUUAGAGAAUGAAGGUGCCAUCG